CCCUUAGACGUUCUGGGCCGCACGCGCGCUACACUGACCAGUGCAACAAGCAUCCGUCCUUGGCCGACAGGCCCGGGCAAUCUUUGAACGCUGGUCGUGAUGGGGAUAGACUUUUGCAAUUUUUGGUCUUCAACGAGGAAUUCCUAGUAAACGCAAGUCAUCAGCUUGCAUUGAUUACGUCCCUGCCCUUUGUACACACCGCCCGUCGCACCUACCGAUUGAAUGGUCCGGUGAAGCCUCCGGAUUGGCGCGCACCUCGGUGCCGCCGAGAAGUUGGCUAAACCUUACCAUUUAGAGGAAGGUGAAGUCGUANCA
rnacentral:rRNA from 1 species